UAAAAUUAAUAUAAAUAAUUAAAAGGACUCUUCACAAGUGAGGGCUCUUCAUUAUCGGCACCUGUUUGGCUCUCGUCUAUCAUCUUCCGCUCUGGAUUCUUAUCACCUUUCACAGUCUGGAUUCUUCCGGUCUCUGGUGCCCUCUUCGCAUCUGGUACAAUUCUUAUGUUCUUUCUAAGGCCUUAUUUUCAAAGCCAACAAGCUGACAAAAACUAACGAAACCAUGGUAGCAAUUAAAGCUCCACGUGGCACUACUUUGGAAGUCUCAGAUCUUGAUGAGGUAAUCCCAUAAGCAGACGCCGGUCGAUCAAGUACAAAAUGCAUAAUUUUUGUGCAUGCAUACUCAAUAUGGGCUAUUAACUAUCCCCAAAGGAGAUACAGGAUAGUCCUUAGAAGUACAAUGGGUCCCAUAGAUGUUUAUCUUGUCAGGCACUGUUCCUUCUUAUGCGUUUUAUAUGACUGGUGAGACAAACUUCACAUUAGUGGAAUGGUUUAUCCAUUGAAUUUUUUGAGACUUUUAAAUAACUAUUCUGAUCCCUCUCCCCGUUGCCCCUUCACAUUAAUUAAUUAAUUUGCCAUUAUUUUGAAUGUUACCUAUUGGUGGGAUACAAAAUUCAUGUAAAACCUGCCUUCAGUUAUGUAUAAGCUCUUUAUCA